rnacentral:rRNA from 1 species
AUUGAACGCUGGCGGCAGGCUUAACACAUGCAAGUCGAGCGGAGAUGAGGUGCUUGCACCUUAUCUUAGCGGCGGACGGGUGAGUAAUGCUUAGGAAUCUGCCUAUUAGUGGGGGACAACAUUCCGAAAGGAAUGCUAAUACCGCAUACGUCCUACGGGAGAAAGCAGGGGAUCUUCGGACCUUGCGCUAAUAGAUGAGCCUAAGUCGGAUUAGCUAGUUGGUGGGGUAAAGGCCUACCAAGGCGACGAUCUGUAGCGGGUCUGAGCGGAUGAUCCGCCACACUGGGACUGAGACGUGGCCCAGACUCCUACGGGAGGCAGCAGUGGGGAAUAUUGGACAAUGGGGGGAACCCUGUUCCAGCCAUGCCGCGUGUGUGAAGAAGGCCUUAUGGUUGUAAAGCACUUUAAGCGAGGAGGAGGCUACUGAGACUAAUACUCUUGGAUAGUGGACGUUACUCGCAGAAUAAGCACCGGCUAACUCUGUGCCAGCAGCCGCCGCCGUAA